CAUGAAGAACGUAGCGAAAUGCGAUAAGUAAUGUGAAUUGCAGAAUUCAGUGAAUCAUCGAAUCUUUGAACGCACAUUGCGCCCGCCAGUAUUCUGGCGGGCAUGCCUGUCUGAGCGUCAUUUCAACCCUCAUGCCCCUAGGGCGUGGUGUUGGGGAUCGGCCAAAGCCCGCGAGGGACGGCCGGCCCCUAAAUCUAGUGGCGGACCCGUCGUGGCCUCCUCUGCGAAGUAGUGAUAUUCCGCAUCGGAGAGCGACGAGCCCCUGCCGUUAAACCCCCAACUUUCCAAGGUUGACCUCAGAUCAGGUAGGAAUACCCGCUGAACUUAAGCAUAUCAAUAAGCGGAGGA
rnacentral:misc_RNA from 1 species